rnacentral:lncRNA from 1 species
AAGCUGCUAGACUUGAGAAUUAAGCUGCCAGACUUGAGAAUUAAGCUGCCAGACUUUAUAAGGUUUUAUAAGGCUUUAUAAGGGUUUUAUAAGCUCGAUUUUAUUGAAGAGAAGAAGAAGAGAGAAAAAGAUAUUUUAUUAUAUUGUGUACUGAGGUCACUUGUUUUUAAAUACUUGUACCUAUAUCCACAAUUAAACUAAGGAAACUAUUCUCUCCUUCUUUCUCUUACAUCUUGAGAUCUACUUUCUCUCUCUCUAUGUUCUUCAUGUUCUUCAUUCUCCAUAAAUAAACUCUCAAUAAUUCUCUCAUUCUAACAUGGUAUCAGAGCAUUAAGCUCCUGAAACUCACAAAAGCUUCCGCAAAUUUCUUUCUUUCCUUCUCAGAUUAUCUUCAAAAUCUGUUGGAUACAUCCUUUUAUCCACUGGUCCAAAGGUCUUUCAAAAGGGAAGAACCUCACCAGAACUCAAGAUAGAGGAGUACCCUAUUCUCUGGAACUCAAGAAAGCUUCAACCAUAUCAGGAAAAGCUUCUUCAAAGUCCAGUUUAUCUCAGUAGGAACAAUCUAUUGUCCACUGGUCCAUAUCUCUCCAUGAGGGAGAACUCCAACAUGGUGUUGUUUCCAGAGUACAAGAAGGCUAAGGAACAACAUAAGAACCACAAUAUGCCAAGAAGAAGUGACUUGAAUCAAGCCAGGAAUGUAAUCAAAGAGUUUGAGCAUCCAUCGAUUCAAGGUCGAACCAUGUAUUCAUUUGUCAUUGGUGGUUCAAAUGAAGAAGGAACAUGGAGAAGUACUGAUAGUGCAGCCAACACUGAUGGUCCAGCAACCAUGAGUGACCUACAUUCCCUUAUCCAAGCUUUUAUCUCAUUCAAGAAGGCUGGUACACACUCUCUUGACCCUAAACCUAUCAUUAUAGAUUCAGGAGCAAGCCAUCACAUGAUUAGUGAUAGAAACUUGAUGAGUGAUGUCCAGCCUGCCUCAGGGUAUGUUCAAAUAGCAAAUGGUGAUAAGAUUAAGAUAGAAGGGAUAGGGAACCUGAGGUUGUUUGAUAGGGAAUCUACUGCCUUGUAUAUGCCUCAGUUUACAUCAAACUUGCUAUCUGUGAGAAAGGCUACUGUUGAUCUGAGUUGUCAGGUUGUCUUCAGACCAGAUGAGGUUGAAUUUCAAGACUUAAAAACAGGCCAAGUGAUUGGAAAGGGGCACGUUCACAAUGAACUAUAUCAUCUUCAGAAGACAGAGAUGUCUAGACCAUCCACUUCUCAGUGUUUGGCUAGUACAUCCAGCGGGGUUGAUAGCACACUAUGGCAUGCUAGGUUGGGACAUCCUCAUACAAGAGCCCUAAACUUGAUGCUUCCAGGUGUGGUCUUCAAGAAUGAUGAUUGUGAAGCUUGCAUAUUGGGGAAGCAUUGUAGAACAGUCUUCUCACAGUCUAGCACCAUCUAUGAAAGAUGUUUUGACCUAGUUCACUCUGAUGUAUGGACUGCUCCAUGGGUGUCCAGAGAGAACCACAAAUACUUUGUCACCUUCAUUGAUGAGAAAUCCAAAUACACUUGGGUGACACUGAUUCCGUCUAAGGACAGGGUGUUGGAUGCUUUCAAGAAUUUCCAGACCUAUAUCUGCAACCAUUUCAAUGCCAAGAUGAAAAUUCUAAGGUCAGAUAAUGGUGGAGAGUAUACAAGUCAUGCAUUUAAGCAAUAUCUUGCUCAACAUGGGAUAACUCAUCAGACAAGCUGUCCUUACACUCCUCAAUAGAAUGGAGUUACUGAGAGAAAGAACAGACAUUUGAUGGAAGUAGCAAGAUCAAUGAUGUUCCACACCAAUGUUCCAAAAAGAUUCUGGAGUGAUGCUGUGAUGUCUGCUACUUAUCUGAUCAAUAGAACUCCAACUAAAGUCCUCAACGACAUGUCUCCUUUUGAGGUUCUAAAUAAGACCAAACCAUCUUUGGACCAUUUGCGUGUGUUUGAAUGCCUCUGUUUUGUGAUGAUACCUGGGGAGCUGAGGAACAAGCUUGAUGCUAAAAGCUCAAAAGCUAUGUUCAUUGGUUACUCUCCAACUCAGAAGGGGUAUAAGUGCUAUGAUCCAGAGUCAAGAAGGGUUCUUGUCUCGAGGGAUGUGAAGUUUGCAGAAUCUAGAGGCUAUUAUGAUGGAAAGAGUUGGGAUGAGCUCAAAGAUCUUUCUCAAUCAGCCUCAGAUAGAGCAAAUAACCUUAGGGGAGUAAUGGAGAGCCUGGGAAUCAGUAUGCCCUCUUUACCAAGUGUGGAACCUGUCCCUGAAAAUUUAUCAUCUACUGCAGCUGAUAGUGUUGAGAGCACUCAUCCUAAUCAUGAGGGGGGCAGUAGAAAUGUUGAGCAGUCUACACAAGCUCAACCUGAAGAGAGCUCUGUAGCUCAUGAUCAAGAUGAGAUGCCAUCAGAAUCAGAUGUUGAGACUCAAGUAGAAGUGCCAAGUGAAGGAAAUGAAGCAGAACCUGAGCAUAUACAACUUUUGAGAAGGAGUACAAGGAUCAAGAAAUCCUCACAGUGGAUCAACACAGAAGUUUACUUCAAUGCUGAAGUUGUAGCUCACCCAAUAAGUGCAGUAUGCUCCCUUGCUCAAUAUCCAGAAGAUCAUCAAGUCUUCAUCAGUGAAUUGGAUCAGGAAUACAUUCCAAGAACAUAUGAAGAAGCUAUGCAACACAAGGAGUGGAGAGAAUCUGUUGGAGAUGAGAUGAGAGCCAUGAUCAAGAAUGAUACAUGGUUUGAGACUGAAUUUCCAAAAGGAAAGAAGGCAGUGACAAGCCGACUUCUCUACACUAUCAAGUAUGGAGCCAAUGGAAAACCAGAAAGAAAGAAGACAAGACUGGUUGCAAGGGGAUAUACUCAAGUGUAUGGUGAAGAUUAUCUAGACACUUUUGCACCAGUGGCCAAGCUUCACACUAUAAGGAUUCUCUUAUCUCUUGCUGUCAAUCUUGAGUGGGAUUUAUGGCAGAUGGAUGUGAAAAAUGCCUUUCUUCAAGGAGAAUUGGAGGAUGAAGUCUACAUGAGACCACCUCCUGGUCUUGAGAACAUGGUGAAGUCAGGAAAUGUUCUCAGAUUAAAGAAGGCAAUUUAUGGCUUGAAGCAAUCUCCAAGAGCUUGGUACCAUAAGUUGAGCACCACCCUCAAUGGAAGAGGCUUUGUCAAGUCUGAAGCUGAUCAUACCCUAUUCACCCUCACUAGCCAGCAAGGAAUCAUUGUCAUUCUCAUCUAUGUUGAUGACAUUAUCAUCACAGGCAGUGACAAAGAAGGGAUCAUCUCGACCAAAGCAUUCCUUAAGGCUUCAUUUGAUAUCAAGGACUUGGGAGAGCUCAAAUACUUCCUAGGGAUCGAGAUGUGUAGGUCUAAGGAAGGGUUGUUUCUAUCUCAAAGGAAAUACACACUUGACUUACUAAAUGAGGCUGGAGAUCUUGGUGGAAGAGCUGCCAAAACACCUCUAGAGGAAGGAUACAAAGUGAUGCGUGAGGGGGAGAUUGAAAACAAGUCAUAUGAAGAUGUAAAGCAUUAUAGGAGAAUGGUGGGAAAACUCAUUUAUCUUACCAUUACCCGACCAGAUGUAUGCUUUGCAGUAAACCAAGUAAGCCAACACAUGCAAGCUCCCAAGGUACACCACUGGAACAUGGUUGAGAGGAUUCUCAGGUACCUAAGAGAGGCACCAGGCCAAGGAGUGUGGAUGGGAUGCAAUAGAAGCACCGAGAUUGUUGGGUACUGUGAUGCGGAUUGGGCAGGAGAUCGAGUUGAUAGGAGAUCAACUACUGGAUAUUGUACCUUCAUUGGAGGCAAUUUGGUAACAUGGAAGAGCAAGAAGCAGAAGGUGGUGUCUUGUUCAAGUGCUGAGGCAGAAUAUAGAGCUAUGAGGAAGCUCACAAGGGUGUUGAUUUGGAUCAAGGGACUUCUUAAGGACUUGGGAAUUGAAGUUACAACGCCAAUCACGAUGCAUUGUGAUAACCAGGCUGCUAUACACAUUGCUAGCAACUCAGUCUUCCAUGAAAGGACCAAACAUAUAGAGGUAGAUUGCCACAAAGUGAGACAAGCCGUGGAGCAGAAGAUCAUAUUGCCGUGCUACACAAGGAGUGAAGAUCAGCAAGCUGAUAUCUUCACCAAGGCAGCAAGCACUAAGGUAUGUGAGUCCAUUCAUCCAAAAUUGGGACUCAUAGACCUAUCAUGUCAAUGAUCUCUCCUUCAUGAAGUGUUCUACUCUUUUUCCUUGACUUGGGUUUUCUCCCAAAGGGUUUUACCUAGUUGAGGUUUUAAUGAGGGAAUACUUCAUGGCUUCCAAGCUUGACUUGUUCCACAUGGUCAAGCUUGAGGGGGAGUGUUGACAUGAAGCAGAAUUAAGCAGCUAGACUUGAGAAUUAAGCAGCCAGACUUGAGAAUUAAGCUGCCAGACUUGAGAAUUAUGCUGCCAGACUUUAUAAGGUUUUAUAAGGCUUUAUAAGGGUUUUAUAAGCUCGAUUUUAUUGAAGAGAAGAAGAAGAGAGAAAAAAAUAUUUUAUUAUAUUGUGUACUGAGGUCACUUGUUUUUAAAUACUUGUACCCAUAUCCACAAUUAAAUUAAGGAAACUAUUCUCUCCUUCUUUCUCUUACAUCUUGAGAUCUACUUUCUCUCUCUCUAUGUUCUUCAUGUUCUUCAUUCUCCAUAAAUAAACUCUCAAUAAUUCUCUCAUUCUAA